rnacentral:misc_RNA from 1 species
GAUGAGAACGUAGCGAAAUGCGAUAAGUAAUGUGAAUUGCAGAAUUCAGUGAAUCAUCGAAUCUUUGAACGCACAUUGCGCCCUCUGGUAUUCCGGGGGGCAUGCCUGUUCGAGCGUCAUUAUAACCACUCAAGCUCUCGCUUGGUAUUGGGGUUCGCGGUUUCGCGGCCCCUAAAAUCAGUGGCGGUGCCUGUCGGCUCUACGCGUAGUAAUACUUCUCGCGAUUGAGUCCGAUAGGUCUACUUGCCAGUAACCCCCAAUUUUUACAGGUUGACCUCGGAUCAGGUAGGGAUACCCGCUGAACUUAAGCAUAUCAAUAAGCGGAGGA